UACGUAGGUGGCAAGCGUUGUCCGGAAUUAUUGGGCGUAAAGGGCGUGUAGGUGGAUUCUUAAGUCGUGUGUCUAAGUGCGGAGCUCAACUCCGUAUAGGCGCAGGAAACUGGGAAUCUUGAGUGCAGGAGAGGAAAGUGGAAUUCCCAGUGUAGCGGUGAAAUGCGUAGAUAUUGGGAGGAACACCAGUGGCGAAGGUGACUUUCUGGACUGUGUCUGACUCUGAGGCGCGAAAGCUAGGGGAGCGAACGGG
rnacentral:rRNA from 1 species